UACGUAGGGUGCGAGCGUUAAUCGGAAUUACUGGGCGUAAAGCGUGCGCAGGCGGUUUUGUAAGCCAGAUGUGAAAUCCCCGGGCUUAACCUGGGAAUGGCAUUUGGGACUGCAAGGCUGGAGUUUGGCAGAGGAGACUGGAAUUCCUGGUGUAGCAGUGAAAUGCGUAGAUAUCAGGAGGAACACCUGCGGCGAAGGCGGGUUGCUGGGCUGAUACUGGCGCUGAGGCGCGAAAGCCAGGGGAGCGAACGGG
rnacentral:rRNA from 1 species